rnacentral:rRNA from 1 species
GAUGAACGCUAGCUACAGGCUUAACACAUGCAAGUCGAGGGGAAACGAUAGAGAAAGCUUGCUUUUUCUAGGCGUCGACCGGCGCACGGGUGAGUAACGCAUAUCCAACCUGCCCACCACUUGGGGAUAACCUUGCGAAAGUAAGACUAAUACCCAAUGAUAUCUCUAGAAGACAUCUGAAAGGGAUUAAAGAUUUAUCGGUGAUGGAUGGGGAUGCGUCUGAUUAGCUUGUUGGCGGGGUAACGGCCCACCAAGGCGACGAUCAGUAGGGGUUCUGAGAGGAAGGUCCCCCACAUUGGAACUGAGAAACGGUCCAAACUCCUACUGGAGGCAGCAGUGAGGAAUAUUGGUCAAUGUGCGAGAGCCUGAACCAGCCAAGUAGCGUGCAGGAUGACGGCCCUAUGGGUUGUAAACUGCUUUUAUAAGGGAAUAAAGUGAGUCUCGUGAGACUUUUUGCAUGUACCUUAUGAAUAAGGACCGGCUAAUUCCGUGCCAGCCGCCGCUGUAA